rnacentral:rRNA from 1 species
CCGCACCGCUGGCCAACCCUGAUCUUCUGUGAAGGGUUCGAGUUGGAGCACACCUAUCGGGACCCGAAAGAUGGCGAACUAUGCCUGAGCGCGGCGAAGCCAAAGGAAACUCUGGUGGAGGCUCGAAGCGAUACUGAAGUGCAAAUUGUUCGUCUGACUUGGGUAUAGGGGCGAAAGACUAAUCGAACCAUCUAGUAGC